GGCGAACGCUGGCGGCGUGCCUAAUACAUGCAAGUAGAACGCUGAAGGAGGAGCUUGCUUCUAUGGAUGAGUUGCGAACGGGUGAGUAACGCGUAGGUAACCUGCCUGGUAGCGGGGGAUAACUAUUGGAAACGAUAGCUAAUACCGCAUAAUAGUAGAUGUUGCAUGACAUUUGCUUAAAAGGUGCAAUUGCAUCACUACCAGAUGGACCUGCGUUGUAUUAGCUAGUUGGUGGGGUAACGGCUCACCAAGGCGACGAUACAUAGCCGACCUGAGAGGGUGAUCGGCCACACUGGGACUGGGACACGGCCCAGACUCCUACGGGAGGCAGCAGUAGGGAAUCUUCGGCAAUGGACGGAAGUCUGACCGAGCAACGCCGCGUGAGUGAAGAAGGUUUUCGGAUCGUAAAGCUCUGUUGUAAGAGAAGAACGAGUGUGAGAGUGGAAAGUUCACACUGUGACGGUAUCUUACCAGAAAGGGACGGCUAACUACGUG
rnacentral:rRNA from 1 species